GCAGAGAUGCUUUGGUGCCUUCGGGAACUCUGAGACAGGUGCUGCAUGGCUGUCGUCAGCUCGUGUUGUGAAAUGUUGGGUUAAGUCCCGCAACGAGCGCAACCCUUAUCCUUUGUUGCCAGCGGUUAGGCCGGGAACUCAAAGGAGACUGCCAGUGAUAAACUGGAGGAAGGUGGGGAUGACGUCAAGUCAUCAUGGCCCUUACGAGUAGGGCUACACACGUGCUACAAUGGCGCAUACAAAGAGAAGCGACCUCGCGAGAGCAAGCGGACCUCAUAAAGUGCGUCGUAGUCCGGAUUGGAGUCUGCAACUCGACUCCAUGAAGUCGGAAUCGCUAGUAAUCGUGGAUCAGAAUGCCACGGUGAAUACGUUCCCGGGCCUUGUACACACCGCCCGUCACACCAUGGGAGUGGGUUGCAAAAGAAGUAGGUAGCUUAACCUUCGGGAGGGCGCUUACCACUUUGUGAUUCAUGACUGGGGUGAAGUCGUAACAAGGUAACCGUAGGGGAACCUGCGGUUGGAUCACCUCCUU
rnacentral:rRNA from 2 species